UCGAGAAUAUUUAGCAAUGGACGAAAGUCUGACUAUGCGACGCCGCGUGAGGGAUGAAGGUCUUCGGAUCGUAAACCUCUUUCGAUGUGGAAGAAGCCCCAAGCAAUUGGGGUUGACGGUACUCAGAGAAGAAGCCACGGCUAACUCCGUGCCAGCAGCCGCGGUAAUACGGAGGUGGCGAGCGUUACUCGGAUUUAUUGGGUGUAAAGGGCAGGUAGGUGGCUAUGCAAGUUGGAGGUGAAAUCCUCGGGCUUAACCCGAGAACUGCCUUCAAAACUGCAUAGCUUGAGGCUGGUAGAGGAAAGCGGAAUUCCCGGUGUAAGGGUGAAAUCUGUAGAUAUCGGGAGGAACACCAGUGGCGAAGGCGGCUUUCUGGUCCAGUCCUGACACUGAGCUGCGAAAGCUUGGGGAGCAAACAGG
rnacentral:rRNA from 1 species